UACGAGGGGUGCAAGCGUUGUUCGGAGUUAUUGGGCGUAAAGGGCGCGUAGGCGGUGCGGUAAGUCACCUGUGAAAUCUCCUGGCUCAACUGGGAGCUUGCAGGCGAAACUGCCGUGCUGGAGUGUGGGAGAGGUGCGUGGAAUUCCCGGUGUAGCGGUGAAAUGCGUAGAUAUCGGGAGGAACAUCAGUGGCGAAGGCGGCCUUCUGGUCCAGUACUGACACUCAAGUGCGAAAGCGUGGGGAGCAAACAGG
rnacentral:rRNA from 1 species